rnacentral:lncRNA from 1 species
CCCGCCCCCCUCCAAAGAGCUAUUGAGAUGGCAGCUGAUGGGAUUAUUUCUUUGGUUACCCUAUGCUUCAAUCGCUUAACUUAGUAAAAUGUACAGAGCAAAGCGUUUUCAUGCCACUAUAGCCGAAAUAUUCAACUUGCUCCUUUUUCCAUUAGUCAAUCACGAAAGGAAAGACAAAGCUUGAGGGAAACAAAAUUAGAAGAGUAGAAGACCAACACAUUUAAGGAUCAAUCUGAUCGGACAAUAACAUCUUUCUGGCUGUUUUUGUUUCGGAUGGUGGUAAUUUUGAUUUGUCGACUUGCACCCUUGCCGUUAAUAAUCAAAUACAGGGCAGACAUAGUAGUUAAUGGCGACUGAGAUAUUUACUCAAGAGCGUCUGCAGUUCCCUAGGAAGGUCGGCUAGUAGGGGCUCCC